rnacentral:rRNA from 1 species
ACUACGGGUGGCAGCAGUGGGGAAUAUUGCACAAUGGGGGAAACCCUGAUGCAGCGACGCCGCGUGAGUGAAGAAGGAUUUCGGUAUGUAAAGCUCCAUCAGCAGGGAAGAAAAUGACGGUACCUGAUUAAGAAGCCCCGGCUAACUACGUGCCAGCAGCCGCGGGAAUACGUAGGGGGCAAGCGUUAUCCGGAUGUACUGGGUGUAAAGGGAGCGUAGGCGGCAGCACAAGUCGGGAGUGAAAUGCCGGGGCUUAACCCCGGAACUGCUUGUGAAACUUGGCAGCUAGAGUGCAGGAGAGGUAAGUGGAAUUCCUAGUGUAGCGGUGAAAUGCGUAGAUAUUAGGAGGAACACCAGUGGCGAAGGCGGCUUACUGGACUGUAACUGACGUUGAGGCUCGAAAGCGUGGGGAGCAAACAGGAUUAGAUACCCUAGUAGUC